GAUAAUUUAUUGAACAAGGACUAUUGGGCGAAGGCCCCUCUGGGCCUCACUCCAUCUCCAUUCCGCUACGGAAGAAUAGCAACGAUCAGUUCACACAGGACCCGAACUCUUUUGUAACUUUCACACUUCAAAUCUCUUAAUAACAAUGGCUCCUGGUGUUCCCCGAUCCGGUGAUGCAAUGUUCGCGAGUGUCGAGCACGUGAAUGUGGAGAUAUUUACUUUAACAUAUGGGGCGAUUGUACGCCAAUUGCUUGCGGAUCUGGAGGAGGUUGAAGAAGUCAACAAACAGCUAGAACAAAUUGAGAACCGUGGCAUUCUUUUGUGGUUUUAGAGCUGAGCCACGAGCAGGUAUUGCAGUCACUACAAAAGGGGUUAUAAUAUUGGAAUUCGACUGGUUGAUGAGUUUUUAGCAAAAUGUAAUGUCUUGAGAUGUGUGGACUUCAGGGAGACAGCUGAAGUAAUUGCAAAGAUGGGACAAGCUUGAGUUGGUAGAUGAAGAACUUAGUUUGUAGCAUAAUGGAACUGCUGACUCGCCAUCUGAAACUUUUUUCAUCAUAUACAAAAGUGGGUUUCAAAAUGUUCCUAGGGUUGAGUGCAUCUGUGACCAAUUGGGAUGCUGAAGGGACAUGUUGCAGUAUGGUUUUGGAGGAUAAUCCCUUGGUAGACUCUGUUGAGCUUCCUGAUACAUGUCAAGGCCUAUACUACUGCAACAUUUUAAGUGGAGUCAUUAGAGGGGCACUGGAGAUGGUGUCAAUGAAGACUGAAGUGACAUGGGCUCGUGAUAUGCUUCGAGGGGAUGAUGCAUUCGAGUUGCAGUUGACACGCUUUUGAAGUGCACGACAAAUUGGUAUCAGAGCGUGGAGAUGAUCUUGAUGAGUUUGGUUGAAGGUGGAGCUGCUAUAAAUAUAUAGAAAGUCGUACAUACAAUAAUGGUGACGAUGGAGAGUUAAAUUUAAGGUGGAGCUCUUAAUGCUAAAUCAAGAAAGUUGAUGACUCGAAGAUUUUCUGAAAAAAGAAACAAGUUACACCCAAGAUGAAGAUUAAAGAAUGAAGAUUCGAAGGAUUCAAGUUCAAGCAUGGAGAUUUGAUGAUUUGAUAACACUAAAGAAUUUGAGGUAUGCAAUAGUUGAUAGAUUUUGAGUCAACAUGGAGAUUGUUAGAAUUAUGACUCAAAAUCCUAGUGAGAUUUGGAGAGACUUUUUUCUAAUUUUAGUGGGAGAAAUAUUGCUCAAUAAGAUAAAGGAAUAUUUCCUAUAUUGAGUAGAACUCUUAUUUCAGUGUUAUUUUUAAAUUGUGUGAGACUCCCAAUGAGAUUAAAAUUGAGAGAAUUGACAUUAUAAAUAGGAGAAUAGUAAAAAGGUUAUUUGGUUUCUCCCAUAGGGAGCGGCUUUGCCCAUUGAAGAGAGUGGCUUUGUUCAUUGAUGAGGGGCUCCUGUCCAUUGCAGUCCCAUAGAGGGAAAGAGGUUUCAACCUAAAGUAGAGAAAGGGCAUAGAAUUCAAAAGAAAUGAAUUUUUGUCUAUUGAUGAGAGGACUCUUGCCAAUGUAGUUGAAGAUACCAUUUGUGGUGUAGCAGUUAUAAUAAUAAAUGUAUUGAUUUAUGUCUAGAUAAGAUUGAGAUGGACUAAAUAAUAUAUUUACUGUAGUAUGGAUUCUCUUGGGUGUAAUUGGAUUUAUGAGUAGUAUAGUUUGAGUUUGUAAUUGAUUAUUUAUUGUUGAUAGUGGAAAAUAGCAUGCUCGUGGAUGUAGCCUUAUAUGAAAAUGGUGAACUACGUAAAUAUUGUUGUUUUGUGUA